GACGAACGCUGGCGGCGUGCCUAAUACAUGCAAGUCGAGCGGACGGAUGGGAGCUUGCUCCCAGACCGUCAGCGGCGGACGGGUGAGUAACACGUGGGCAACCUGCCUGUAAGACUGGGAUAACUCCGGGAAACCGGGGCUAAAACCGGAUAACUCUUUCCCUCACAUGAGGGAAAGCUGAAAGAUGGCAUCUCGCUAUCACUUACAGAUGGGCCCGCGGUGCAUUAGCUAGUUGGUGAGGUAACGGCUCACCAAGGCGACGAUGCGUAGCCGACCUGAGAGAGUGAUCGGCCACACUGGGACUGAGACGCGGCCCAGACUCCUACGGGAGGCCGCAGUAGGGAAUCUUCCGCAAUAGACGGAAGUCUGACGGAGCAGCGCCGCGUGAGUGAUGACGGUUUUCGGAUCGUAAAACUCUGUUGUCAGUUAAGAACAAGUACCGGAGUAACUGCCGGUACCUUGACGGUACCUGACCAGAAAGCCACGGCUAACUACGUG
rnacentral:rRNA from 1 species